rnacentral:tRNA from 1 species
GGGACUGUAGCUCAGGUGGUUAGAGCUAUUCGCUCAUAACGAAGGGGUCGUAGGUUCAAGUCCUACCAGUCCCAC